AUUGAACGCUGGCGGCAGGCCUAACACAUGCAAGUCGAGCGGAUGAAUGGAGCUUGCUCCUGGAUUCAGCGGCGGACGGGUGAGUAAUGCCUAUGAAUCUGCCUGGUAGUGGGGGAUAACGUCCUGAAACGGGCGCUAAUACCGCAUACGUCCUGAGGGAGAAAGUGGGUGAUCUUCGGACCGCACGCUAUCAGAUGAGCAUAGGUCGGAUUAGCUAGUUGGUGGGGUAACGGCCUACCAAGGCGACGAUCCGUAACUGGUCUGAGAGGAUGAUCAGUCACACUGGAAGUGAGAAACGGUCCAGACUCCUACGGGGGGCAGCAGCGGGGAAUAUUGGACAAUGGGCGAAAGCCUGAUCCAGCAAUGCCGCGUGUGUGCAGAAGGUCUUAGGAUUGUAAAGCACUUUAAGUUGGGAGGAAGGGCAGUAAGUUAAUACCUUGCUGUUUUGACGUUACCAACAGAAUAAGCACCGGCUAACUUCGUG
rnacentral:rRNA from 1 species